GUGGGGAAUCUUGCGCAAUGGGCGAAAGCCUGACGCAGCCAUGCCGCGUGAAUGAUGAAGGUCUUAGGAUUGUAAAAUUCUCUCACCGGGGACGAUAAUGACGGUACCCGGAGAAGAAGCCCCGGCUAACUUCGUGCCAGCAGCCGCGGUAAUACGAAGGGGGCUAGCGUUGCUCGGAAUUACUGGGCGUAAAGGGCGCGUAGGCGGACAGUUUAGUCAGAGGUGAAAGCCCAGGGCUCAACCUUGGAAUUGCCUUUGAUACUGGCUGUCUUGAGUUUGGGAGAGGUGAGUGGAACUCCGAGUGUAGAGGUGAAAUUCGUAGAUAUUCGGAAGAACACCAGUGGCGAAGGCGACUCACUGGCCCAAUACUGACGCUGAGGCGCGAAAGCGUGGGGAGCAAACAGGAUUAGAAACCCCAGUAGUCC
rnacentral:rRNA from 1 species